UUCCUACGGGGCGCAGCAGUGGGGAAUAUUGCACAAUGGGGGGAACCCUGAUGCAGCGACGCCGCGUGGGUGAAGGAGCACCUCGGUGCGUAAAGCCCUAUCGGCAGGGAAGAAAAGCGAACAGGUUCGCCUGGACGGUACCUGACUAAGAAGCCCCGGCUAACUACGUGCCAGCAGCCGCGGGAAUACGUAGGGGGCAAGCGUUAUCCGGAUUUACUGGGUGUAAAGGGAGCGUAGACGGCAGUGCAAGUCUGGAGUGAAAGGCGGGGGCUCAACCCCCGGACUGCUCUGGAAACUGU
rnacentral:rRNA from 1 species